GACGAACGCUGGCGGCGUGCUUAACACAUGCAAGUCGAACGAUGAAGCCGGAGCUUGCUCUGGUGAAUUAGUGGCGAACGGGUGGGUAACACGUGAGUAACCUGCCCUUGACUCUGGGAUAACUGCGGGAAACUGUAGCUAAUACCGGAUACGACCCUCGGAGGCAUCUCCUGGGGGUGGAAAGAAUUUCGGUCAAGGAUGGACUCGCGGCCUAUCAGCGAGUUGGUGAGGUAAGGGCUCACCAAGGCGACGACGGGUAGCCGGCCUGAGAGGGUGACCGGCCACACUGGGACUGAGACACGGCCCAGACGCCUACGGGAGGCAGCAGUGGGGAAUAUUGCACAAUGGGCGCAAGCCUGAUGCAGCAACGCCGCGUGAGGGAUGACGGCCUUCGGGUUGUAAACCUCUUUUAGCAGGGAAGAAGCGAAAGUGACGGUACCUGCAGAAAAAGCACCGGCUAACUACGUGCCAGCCGCCGCAGUAA
rnacentral:rRNA from 1 species